UGACAAAGAUGAAAGCAUAGGUUGGUUACAUGAAGAUGCGAUUGUUGGUUGAUUAUCUUCGGGUGUUUUUUGUGUUUUCAGGCAUUAGCGACAUAUACGGACAUACAACCCAUUUAAAAACCAUUUUUCUCUUAUUACCAAUUAUAGCACUAUAAUUCAUAGAAAUUCUUUGAUUUCUUUUUAAGUGCAGGGAUAGGCAGAAUCUGAGAUUCCACUAGGAAAAGUGGAGCUUGAGGAUUGUCUACAGAAUAAAAUGUUUAGGGGUAAGAUGCUCAGGUUGAGAAUCAGAGAGCGCUGGUGGUUCCUGUCAUGUGAUGUCUGCACGUCCAAAGCCUUUGAAGAUUGUGAUGCCUACAAAUGCAGAAACAGCUAUACUACUAGGACUGCUACACCAAGAUACAAACUGGCUAUCAUGGCGGCUGAUGAGGGUUCAGCUGUGGAGAUGGUGUUUUUUACGGUGAAAAUGCUGAGAGUUUAAUAGGGAAUCGGGCUGAUGUUUAGUGGCAGAUUCUUACAGCCUAAGAUUCUAUCCCUCGUGAAAUUUUUGCGUUGAUUGGGAGGAAAUAUGUUGUUGAUGCGGCCGUUUCACUGUAUUCAUUUCACAGGGCCAACAUAUCGUCUCAGGUUCUCAAGUUUUAUCCUGAAGGUGGUGAAAUUUUUCUCA